rnacentral:rRNA from 1 species
ACGAACGCUGGCGGCGUGCCUAAUACAUGCAAGUCGAGCGGAAUGAUGAAGAAGCUUGCUUCUUCUGAUUUUAGCGGCGGACGGGUGAGUAACACGUGGGCAACCUACCUUGUAGAUUGGGAUAACUCCGGGAAACCGGGGCUAAUACCGAAUAAUCCAUUUUGCUUCAUGGCGAGAUGUUGAAAGACGGGUUUCGGCUGUCACUACAAGAUGGGCCCGCGGCGCAUUAGCUAGUUGGGUAGGGUAAGUGGCCUACCAAGGCGACGAUGCGUAGCCGACCUGAGAGGGUGAGUCGGCCACACGUGGGACUGAGACACCGGCCCAGACUCCUACGGGAGGCAGCAGUAGGGAAUCUUCCACAAUGGACGAAAGUCUGAUGGAGCAACGCCGCGUGAGUGAAGAAGGUUUUCGGAUCGUAAAACUCUGUUGUAAGGGAAGAACACGUACGAGAGUAACUGCUCGUACCUUGACGGUACCUUAUUAGAAAGCCACGGCUAACUACGUG